UAACUGAAGAGUUUGAUCAUGGCUCAGAUUGAACGCUGGCGGCAGGCCUAACACAUGCAAGUCGAGCGGAAACGAUCC
rnacentral:rRNA from 1 species